rnacentral:rRNA from 1 species
UACGUAGGGCGCAAGCGUUGUCCGGAAUUUAUUGGGCGUAAAGAGCUCGUAGGCGGUCUGUUACGUCCGCUGUGAAAACCCAGGGCUUAACCCUGGGCUUGCAGUGGAUACGGGUAGACUAGAGGCAGGUAGGGGAGAAUGGAAUUCCCGGUGUAGCGGUGAAAUGCGCAGAUAUCGGGAGGAACACCGGUGGCGAAGGCGGCAUCCUGGACCAACACUGACACUGAGGAGCGAAAGCCAGGGGAGCAAACGGG